rnacentral:rRNA from 1 species
CCUACGGGAGGCAGCAGUGGGGAAUCUUGCACAAUGGGGGAAACCCUGAUGCAGCGACGCCGCGUGAGUGAAGAAGUAUUUCGGUAUGUAAAACUCUAUCAGCAGGGAAGAAAAUGACGGUAACUGAUUAAGAAGCCCCGGCUAACUACGUGCCAGCAGCCGAGGGAAAACGGAGGGGGCAAGCGUUAUCCGGAUUUACUGGGGGUAAAGGGAGCGUAGACGGUAGCAAAAGUCUGGAGUGAAAGGCCGGGGCUUAACCCCGGUACUGCAUUUGAAACUGUGCAGCUGGAGUGCAGGAGAGGUAAGUGGAACUCCUAGUGUAGCGGUGAAAUGCGUAGAUAUUAGGAAGAACACCAGUGGCGAAGGCGGCUUUCUGGACUGUAACUGACGUUGAGGCUCGAAAGCGUGGGGAGCAAACAGGAUUAGAUACCCGUGUAGUC